rnacentral:lncRNA from 1 species
UAAAAAUCUCUUGGCAUGUGUUCAGGCUUAUGUCUUAAUAUACAUCUUUUCAGAGUCCAAAUCUGGCACAGAAUAUGUUCUAGCAUUUAUUUGAGAGCAGUGCUCAAGACACUGCUAAAACUAGGACAAUUCACUUGUGCCUGAGAUGAGAAAGGACAGACCUGGACAUUGAGAGGUGAGAACCAUGUGGAUUCCUUCCCACAGGACUUCAGCAUUUCCAGACUGGGAGACAGCGGGCAGUGGGCUGAUGGGAGGAAAGCCCAGCUCUCAACUGAGUCACUGAAUCAUCAGACGAUUCACAGAAUUUGUGUCUACCCUCAAGUAUGAGUCUAGGAAAGGAAAUGUGGUUCCCCAAGUCAAUUUUAUAAAUGUGAAAAAAACAAGAGUACAUGAGGACAAGUAUUUUCAGUGGGGAAUUCUGAGACACAUCCUUCAUCCCAGCAGACUACCAUAGAGGAUGAGGCCAACUCAUCCAUGUGCUAGUUAAAGAGAUGAAUUACUUUCUGUUCCUCUUCAAUUUUCCUGUAAACAUUGUGACUGUGCAGCCCAUUUUAUAUAGUGUAAGUUAAUGCUUUUAUGUGCUUUAACUUUGUCAUAUUGGUAAGGAGGAUUUUAAGACACCUGGUAAAACUUUAAGGCAUGCCAUUCCAUUAGGACAAUGUUCAGAAAAAGCAGUGUUUUAAAAUGUUCUUUAGGUGACUGUUUUUCCAAUUCUCAUUAUAAAGAGGAGCAAGAAAUAUUCCCAGAAGUGAUGCUUCAGAAGCAAUAACAGAAGGGCCUGUGAAAAAGAAAUGUCUUCCAUUAGUCAGUAUUGAUUCUGAAAGUAUCAAUACUGGAGUGUUGAGGCAACAUGAAAAUCAAAGGAAUGAAGCAGCAGUUUAAAACUCUUCAGGUCCCAGAAGAUUAACAAAACUCAGGGAACUUUCCAUUCUAGAGAACAGAUUUCCACUGGAGUAUCUGACUACGGAUAAUGCUGAAAACAGCAUUUACAAAGUCAAGUCUGAAAAUUCAUUAAAUCCAAAGGAAACUUUAUCUUUGUAGACACAGGGACAAUUCCUGAUAGUGAUUGAUCGUGCAGCACACUGGUUACAAGUCCCUGGUGAUAUGAAAGAGGUCUGUAUAAUCCUGUGUGGCAUGGAGAAGGUACACUCAUCUCUCCUUCCACAGAACUAAGGGCCUACAGAUGAAACUAAGUAGUAGUCAGGAUCGAAACAAACAAGAGGAGCUGGCUUGAGGUCAAGAAUGGAGACCUCCAUGAGAAAGAAAGCCUAUUUGAAAAGCUAGCAUGAUUAUAGGCGGAAAUUUAGCAUGUGCAUGAAAUAUAGAUAUACUACAGAUCACAUUAAUCUUAAGGAAUUAUAAAAAAAUAGAGGAACUAUUAUAUGUGCAAGUUCUGUUCCUCCUCCUUCAUGCCUCUAUGUCACAGAGACAGGGUAAAAUUGACCCAUAUUCUGAAUCAAUACAGCCUUUUUCGUUUUUCUGUUCAGCUGAUAGUCACUCAGCAACACUUUAGUUUUUAGACACUUGCAAAUCUAUGUUCCCAUCAUUCUUUCCAAAUUGGGAUUCAAAGACUAUGUCAAAAAGUAAUGCACAUUCAUUGUAGUUUUCCAUGUUGCCUUCAUUCUGGAGAAGAUGAAGACAUGAAGCCUAAAAUUAAAAUAAACAAUGAAUUGUGCAUUACAACCAUCUGUGUCAUCUGAGAUACAUUAAAACAUUUUCUAUUUAAUGCCUUCCCCCAUCUUACAUUUUUUUCCCUGAAGGAUCAUAUCUCAGUGCAAUCCUCCAAAACUAGAGCAUCAUUUCAUCAAGCUAUGGCAACCUAUUUUUGACACCGACAUCAUAAUCCAUUAAGAUAUCUAAACAAUCUCUUUGUCCUUUUAUUUAUCUAUUCUCAACAGAUUUUAUUUUUCUUGGCUACACAACUUGAUCUGAACAUGAAAUAAAGAUCAGUUAGACUUACUUAUUUCAAUACUGAAGAUUCAUAAGACAGUUGAAGAGGUAAAACAAGAAAGGGUGGAGAGAAAUUUCUGUAGAGGAGAUAAAACAGAAAAGACAAACUGAUUCAUCCACUGGAAAAGGAAGGAAAUGUGCACAGAUAAGUGUUACCUUGACUGGUAACUCUCUGAAGUAAUUCCUUCACAGAAAUCAUUACAUAAUGGCUCCCUGAGAGGACAUUUAUUCCACAGUUAAAAAGAAAAAAAAGAAAAAAAAAUACUUUAAUCCAGAAUAAUUGCUUUGCUAAGACUGUAGAAUCAGCUUAGCUGAUUUAGCUUUAACAUGGAAUAAAGCUAUUUUUAUUCUGAAAUAUUAUUUUCACAUGGGAAUUUAUCUGGAACAGUUAAAUGCUAUUGGAAUACAUUAUUGCUAUGAGCUUUGCUACUCAUUUCCUCCUGUCUAGAUGAAGUUUCAACAUGUUUCUUCUGCAGGGGGACUGUUAUCAAGGCCUGACUUUGAUUUCAUUUAUAUAUCAUCAUUUUAUACCCACACACCCAGAUAAGUUUGUUCGAGUCAUUCCUGAUUUAGUCUGCUAUGAGAUCAAUAUUGACAUUUUAUGGUGGUUUGAGUAGAUAUUUUCUCUGUUUAACAGCCAAGAUGGAAAAAACCUUUGGAUCAAGCUAUAAAUAUUUUUUGUUUCUCAUCCUUGCUGAAAUGAAAACGAAGUAAAAAUAGUUUAAUGCAAUACAACACAUUGCAUUUGGCCUGAGAUUAAACAUUUCAUAUGUUUUAAGUAGAACAAAGAAGGGAGGAUUUACAAAAUAAAAAUUCCUUUAUCUACUGCUAUUCUGUCCUCUCUCCCUUUUAUUCACUGGUUCAAGGUUAUACUUCUCGCUGAAUAGGUUGAGCUACUACAAUUUUGAACUACUUUCAAGAAAUUGGCUUAGCAACCAGGCUAUACGUUAUUAUAAGAGGAAAAGUGAUCUGCUUUCCUAUGCUACUUUUACAUCCUCUUUAAAUAGUAUUCAACAUUAAACGAAACAAGUUCAUCUGGUUAAAUGCAGGUGUCUACAUCUAGGUAUCCUCAAUUUCCUUUAAAUAAGAGCAAAAAAAAAAAAAAAAAAAAAGGAGCUUUGAACAUGUAAUUCAAUUUAAGAUCUAAAAUAAGCAUUACAUCUUUCUUUGACCUUCAUAACCUAAAUAUGCACGCUCUACUUGUGGCAGCAAACUCUUUUACCAGUAAUAAGAAGCCCAAGCUCUUCUGUGGAGACUAGUCCUUUCUGUGACAUAAAAUUCAUGCUGUGAUAUAUCACUAAGACUACUAUCAGUGCCCAAAUCAGUAAAUGUAAAGCUAGUUUAGAUAGCACUGCAUUAGACUAUGGUCACAUCUGUGAUUGCAUUGUGGAUAUGUACAUUCCUUCCCUCAAAUUGCCUUGCAGUGGGAAGGCUUACUGUGCAACAAACACACUGUUAAUUUCCUAUGCCAUGCGCCUGUUUUUAAGGCAUUCUCUAAUUGCAUACAUUAUAACAUCUGCUUCCUCUGCUUCAGCUUGUAUAAAUCAGUACUAGAAUAAGCAUUUGGGUUGAUCCAAGUGAAAACUCAGAGAGUGAAUGAAGUCUCUCUCUUUUUUUUUUUUUUUUUCCUAAGCAGAUCCCAAUCUCAGUAGAGAAAGCAGUCUAACACUGUUGCCAGGAAAGAGAAGGAGAGUGAGAAUUAUGCUGGAGAGGAUUUGUGAGGUGUGGAGCUAUUUUAAUGUUUCUGGAUGAAAAAUCUGUUACUAAAAUAAGAGUAGAGAAUGAAACCACCUCCACCAAUGUGGAGGAAUGUUGGCUUCAAUAUAUUUACAUGCUCCAAUAAAAAUGCUACUUUUUUCAUACUUCUGUGUUCACUUUCAACUUGAUCUCAAUAAGCUGUUGAUACUUGAUGAAAGCUUUGUCCUAAGUAUUUCAUUUUGAGUAUCAAUGUUUUUUGUUGGAUAUGGAGAAACAGCCAUUACAACUUGAGCAAAAAUAGUUAAAAACAAG